UGAAGCUGUGAACGGCUCAUUAAAUCAGUUGCAAUAUCUCGUGCCUCAUGUGUAUCCCGCAAAUAAGGGCAAUUCUCUUACUAGGCGUGAACAAUCAAACCAGUGGGCUUGCCCUUGUUGAGUUACGUUAUGAGAUUGACCGCUUGGCGGGCACGAUUAGCUUCUGACGCAUCAUCUAGUAGUAGGGGUAACGGCCCCACUAGGAUCUUACGCGUACGGAGAAUUAGGGUUCGACUCCGGAGAAUGAGCAUGAGAGACGGCUCAUAGUUCUAAGGAAGGCAGCAGGCGCGAAAAUUGUCCAAUGUACGAUAGUACGAGACAGGGAGGAUAAAUCUUAAGCCGAGUAAUCGGUAUGAAGCUGAGCAAGAGUAUUAUGCCUUGCUAAACGCAAUUAGUGGGAAAGCAUGGUGCCAGCACCCGCGGUAAUUCCAUCACUGAUAGCCUUCUCUUACGUUGCUGCAGUUAAAAGGCUCGUAGCCGUUGGUAGCAUUGCGUGUCACUUUGAGAAAAUCGGAGCGUUCAUAGCAGGCAAGCCGUUGCACAGUGCAGCAAAGCACGACAUCGUAUCCUUCGGGGUAUAUGUAGUAAAUGGCAGUGCGUGGUUGAUGGUAUCUGAUGGGGACAGGUGAAAUAGGAUGAUCCAUCAGGGACCUCCAGGAGCGAAGGCAGUCAACAAGCACUGGCCAGUUGGUCAAGAGCGAAAGUGUGAGGAUAGACGAUGAUUAGAAACCGUUUUAUUUCACGCCUUAAACGCUACCAUCUAGGCAGUGGGCGCAAGUGCUCACAGCCCCAAGGAAACCGAAAGGCUUCAGGCUCUGGGGGAAGUAUGGGUGCAAGUCUGAAACUUGAAGGUAUUGACGGAGAGAUACCACCAGACGUGGAGUCUGCGGCUCAAUUUGACUCAACACGCAAAUCUUACCAGACCCAGAUGCUUUACGGAGCAACAGACUAAGAGAUCUUUUGCGAUUAGGCAGUUGGUGGUGCAUGGCCGCUCCUAGUUCGUGGUGUUAACUGUCUGCUUUAUUGCGAUAACGAGCGAGAUGACCAGGCUAAGUCUUUUAGCCGAGCGCCGGCGAUAAGCCGGAUGAACGUGGUCGCGCUAGCAGGUCUGUGAUGCCCUUAGACACUCUGGGCCGCACGCGUACUACAAUGCUGGCGGCAAAAAGUUGCUGAGCCGAAAGGCCUGGCUAUUCUAUAACCGCAAGCGUGGUCGGGAUCGGAGCUUGGAAUUUUUCUCCGUGAACGAGGAAUGUCUUGUAGGCGUACGUCAGAAGCGUACGCUGACUAUGUCCCUGCUCCUUGUACACACCGCCC
rnacentral:rRNA from 1 species